AAAAUCCUUUGUCUUCUUUAGCAGGACCAAAACAAGGAUUGAGAAUCCUCUCAACACACAUACAUUAGAGAUAACCUUUAGCACCCUCACCUUAAUCGUCCUGAACGCGAGAUCUAAGCAGCAAAAUCACAACCACCGCUGCUGACCCCUCCACCAGUCUCAUGCCGUUGAACACACAUGCACACACAGUAGAGAGAACGGACUGAAAAAUAGGAUGGAAGGAGAGGAUUUUUGGAUAAAAUUUUGGGAGAAAAGCUAGGGUUCUUGGGCUUCUCAUUUCCUUUUUAUAAUUUUGGUUUUUGUUCAGAUUCAUGAUGUAAAAAAAUAUAUAGAUGUUUAGUGUCCUUCUUCUCUUUUGGUUUAAUGGCUGCAACAACAACAACAACUACUACCGAG
rnacentral:lncRNA from 1 species